rnacentral:rRNA from 1 species
GACGAACGCUGGCGGCGUGCUUAACACAUGCAAGUCGAACGCUGAAGCUCAGCUUGCUGGGUGGAUGAGUGGCGAACGGGUGAGUAACACGUGAGUAACCUGCCCCCUUCUUUGGGAUAACGCCCGGAAACGGGUGCUAAUACUGGAUAUUCACUGAUCUUCGCAUGGGGGUUGGUGGAAAGGUUUUUUCUGGUGGGGGAUGGGCUCGCGGCCUAUCAGCUUGUUGGUGGGGUGAUGGCCUACCAAGGCUUUGACGGGUAGCCGGCCUGAGAGGGUGACCGGUCACAUUGGGACUGAGAUACGGCCCAGACUCCUACGGGAGGCAGCAGUGGAAUAUUGCACAAUGGGCGAAAGCCUGAUGCAGCGACGCCGCGUGAGGGAUGGAGGCCUUCGGGUUGUAAACCUCUUUCGCUCAUGGUCAAGCCGCAACAUUGGUUGUGGUGAGGGUAGUGGGUAAAGAAGCGCCGGCUAACUACGUG